rnacentral:rRNA from 1 species
UUGCAUCUACUCAAUCUUAGAGAUACGGAUUCUUCGGACCUAAGCACUUAUGCUUCGUCCUCUUCUGAGAUGUUGGGUUAAGUCCCGCAACGACGCAACCCUUUUUAUUAUUUGCCAGCAUUACGUUGGGCCUCUCAUGAGACUGCCUUUUACACCCGGGGGUUGGGUAUGACGUCAAGUCAUCAUGCCCCUUAUGCCUGGGCUACACACGUGCUACAAUGUUCAUUACAACGAUAAUCAAUCCUGCGAAGGAAAGCGAAUCUGUGAAAGCUGUUCUCAGUUCGGACUGAAGUCUGCAACUCGACUGCACGAAGGUGGAAUGGCUAGUAAUCGCGGCUCAGCACGCCGCGGUGAAUACUUUCCCGGGCCUUUUACACACCGCCCGUCACACCAUGGGGAUCUGCAAUGCCCAAAGCCGGUGGCCUAACUUCGGGAAGGAGCCGUCUAAGGCAGGCAGAUGACUGGUGUGAAGUCUAACAAGGUAACCAAAUC